rnacentral:RNase_MRP_RNA from 14 species
AAGCACGGCUUCGCAGCACACAGACGGGGAGCUUGCUCCCAAUGAUGAUGCGAGGACAGUCCCCGUGCCUUGGUGCAGAGAGUGCGUGUGGGAGACCGCAGGGCACAGGUCAGGCCUCCAGUGGCGAUGCUUCUGGCGGAUUCUUGGUGGCAGGCUUGGGCCCUUCGCAGCAGUUCGCAGCAGCACAGACAUGCCGUGAGCGCUCAUGAUUUGAGCGCCAACAGAACGGGGCUCACUCUCC